AGGAUAAACGCUGGCGGCGUGCCUAACACAUGCAAGUCGAACGCGCUUUCGGGCUUCGGUGCGAGAGCGAGUGGCGGACGGGUGAGUAACACAUGGGUACCUACCUUGGAGUGAGGGAUACCGGCGAGAAAUCGCCGACAAUACCGCAUAGGCUUCUUCACAAGGGAAGCAAAGUGACGCGAGUCACGCUGUGAGAUGGGCCUGUGGCCGAUUAGCUAGUUGGGGGGGUAACGGCUUCCCAAGGCGACGAUCGGUAGCUGGUCUGAGAGGACGAUCAGCCACACUGGGAUUGAGAACGGCCCAGACUCCUACGGGGGGCAGCAGUGAGGAAUUUUCCGCAAUGGAGGCAACUCUGACGGAGCAACGCCGCGUGCAGGAGGAAGGUUUUCGGAUCGUAAACUGCUUUUCGUCGGGGACGAGCAAGGACGGUACCCGAGGAAGAGCCCCGGCUAACUACGUGCCGCAGCCGC
rnacentral:rRNA from 1 species